rnacentral:tRNA from 1 species
GCGGGAGUAGCUCAGUGGUAGAGCUCCUGCCUUCCAAGCAGGAAGUCGAGGGUUCGAAUCCCUUCUCCCGCUCCA